AGCAGCCGCGGUAAUUCCAGCUCCAAUAGCGUAUAUUAAAGUUGUUGCAGUUAAAAAGCUCGUAGUUGAAUUUCGGGAUUAGUACGUUGGUCGUGCCUUCGGUACGUACUGGUGUUACUGAUUCCUACCUUCUGACGAACCAUCAUGUCAUUAAUUUGGUGUGGUGAGGAAUCAGGACUGUUACUUUGAAAAAAUUAGAGUGUUUAAAGCAGGCUCGCGCUUGAAUACAUUAGCAUGGAAUAAUGAAAUAGGACGUUGACCCUAUUUUGUUGGUUUCUAGGAUUGACGUAAUGAUUAAUAGGGAUAGUUGGGGGCAUUAGUAUUCAAUUGUCAGAGGUGAAAUUCUUGGAUUUAUUGAAGACUAACUACUGCGAAAGCAUUUGCCAAGGAUGUUUUCAUUAAUCAAGAACGAAAGUUAGGGGAUCGAAGACGAUCAGAUACCGUCGUAGUCUUAACCAUAAACUAUGCCGACUAGGGAUCGGAUGAUGUUAUUUUUAAUGACUCAUUCGGCGCCUUACG
rnacentral:rRNA from 1 species